UCCUCGGAGGCAGCAGUGGGGAAUAUUGGGCAAUGGGCGCAAGCCUGACCCAGCAACGCCGCGUGAAGGAAGAAGGCUUUCGGGUUGUAAACUUCUUUUCUGAGGGACGAAGAAAGUGACGGUACCUCAGGAAUAAGCCACGGCUAACUACGUGCCAGCAGCCGCGGUAAUACGUAGGUGGCAAGCGUUAUCCGGAUUUAUUGGGUGUAAAGGGCGUGUAGGCGGGAAAGCAAGUCAGAUGUGAAAACUCAGGGCUCAACCCUGAGCCUGCAUUUGAAACUGUUUUUCUUGAGUGCUGGAGAGGC
rnacentral:rRNA from 1 species